GACAGAGGGUGCAAACGUUGCUCGGAAUCACUGGGCAUAAAGCGCACGUAGGCGGUCCGCUAAGUCUGAUGUGAAAUCCCUCGGCUCAACCGGGGAACUGCAUUGGAUACUGGCGGGCUUGAGAGUUGUAGGGGUGGACGGAACUCCAGGUGGAGCGGUGAAAUGCGUAGAUAUCUGGAGGAACACCGGAGGCGAAAGCGGUCCACUGGGCAACUUCUGACGCUGAGGUGCGAAAGCUAGGGUAGCAAACGGGAUUAGAAACCCCCGUAGUCC
rnacentral:rRNA from 1 species